CUGUAAGGAUUGCUGCCCUGCCGGCUGGCUAGGUUGCUCUGUAAGUAAGGCUUUUCCCUAAUAAAUUCCCUUAUAUUUUACCUGGUUCCAUAUUGGUAAUUUCCCACAUUACUGCAUGUUCAUGCCCUUCUUCCAGCACCUUCUUUGGCUGUUUCUCUUAAUAUCUUCCUGCUUAGCUAUUGGCCAGUCAUAUCUUUUAUUAAACAAAACAGAAGGUGCCUCAGUAAAGACACAUCUUCCCAGUACACAAAAAGAUUAUUUCAUAAUAGAAAUAAUUCAAGGAAUACUCUUCUUCAUUUCCAGGGUGCAGAGAAGAACUUGAAAAAUCUCAAUGAUCUUUGGUACUACUUGGUCUUUAUCAGAAGUUAAAGAGGUUCUAAAGUUUGAAGCUGCAGAAUUAAGAGUCUGUCAAUGGAGCAAAAAACAGGCAAGAGGACAAGCCAACCUGAAAACUAUGAAGUCAGAAGUGACAGAGGUGAUGGUCUUGGCUUCCCACCUGAGCAGUACUUUGGGGUGGAGAACACAAGAGGACCUGUGUCAUCUUGUAGAAACGACUCUUUUACCUAAGAGAGAGAUUUUGAGAAGCUACAGCAUCUACUUCAAGAUCACAUGAGUAGGAAGGAAGCUUCCAGACAGCAGUAGAGUGCCAAACUGAAGAAAAGACUGAUUCAUGGCAAAAGGCGACUGAAAAUAUGAAAAGGAAUGCAGCAUCCACGUCUUCAAAUGUUCCCCAUUUAGUUAAUUUAUCAUUAGAAAAAAACACAAAUAAAACACAGCCAGCUUUGCCUAAUGGACA
rnacentral:lncRNA from 1 species